CAGCCGCCACGGUAAUACGUAGGGGGCAAGCGUUGUCCGGAAUCAUUGGGCGUAAAGCGCGUGUAGGCGGCUCGAUAAGUCUGCUGUGAAAGUCCAGGGCUCAACCCUGGGAUGCCGGUGGAUACUGUCGAGCUCGAGUCCGGAAGAGGCGAGUGGAAUUCCUGGUGUAGCGGUGAAAUGCGCAGAUAUCAGGAGGAACACCAAUGGCGAAGGCAGCUCGCUGGGACGUGACUGACGCUGAGACGCGAAAGCGUGGGGAGCAAACAGGAUUAGAUACCCCGGUAGUCCCUGUCUCUUAUAA
rnacentral:rRNA from 1 species